rnacentral:tRNA from 1 species
GUAGGUGUGGCUCAGUGGCAGAGCACGUGCCCAGAAUGCAUGAGGUCCUGGGUUCAAUCCCAUGCACUACCA